rnacentral:rRNA from 1 species
UACAGAGGGGGCAAGCGUUGUUCGGAAUUACUGGGCGUAAAGGGCGCGUAGGCGGCCUUCUAAGUCAGACGUGAAAUCCCUCGGCUCAACCGGGGAACUGCGUCUGAGACUGGAAGGCUUGAAUCCGGGAGAGGCGCGUGGAAUUGCAGGUGUAGCGGUGAAAUGCGUAGAUAUCUGCAGGAACACCGGUGGCGAAGGCGGGUCUCUGGGCCGAAAUUGACGCUGAGGAGCGAAAGCGUGGGGAGCAAACAGG